rnacentral:rRNA from 1 species
AUUGAACGCUGGCGGCAGGCCUAACACAUGCAAGUCGAGCGGAUGAAGGGAGCUUGCUCCUGGCUUCAGCGGCGGACGGGUGAGUAAUGCCUAGGAAUCUGCCUGGUAGUGGGGGAUAACGUCCGGUAACGGGCGCUAAUACCGCAUACGUCCUGAGGUAGAAAGUGGGGGUUCUUCGGUCCUCUCGCUUUCUGAUGAGCCUAGGUCGGAUUAGCUAGUUGGUGGGGUAAAGGCCUACCAAGGCGACGAUCCGUAACUGGUCUGAGAGGAUGAUCAGUCACACUGGAACUGAGACACGGUCCAGACUCCUACGGGAGGCAGCAGUGGGGAAUAUUGGACAAUGGGCGAAAGCCUGAUGCAGCCAUGCCGCGUGUGUGAAGAAGGUCUUCGGAUUGUAAAGCACUUUAAGUUGGGAGGAAGGGCAGUAAGUUAAUACCUUGCUGUUUUGACGUUACCAACAGAAUAAGCACCGGCUAACUACGUG